UGUCCGCCAUCUUUUAUUUUUGAGCUUUGCGCUCUUGAGACGUGAGCGUAGACGCGAUCUGAUUGGCUGCUGUCGUAUUUGGAUGACAGGAGCUGUGAGCGUGAGGCUGCUGAGGAAAGCUGAGUCGUGUGUGUUGUGAAAACGAUAAAGAGAACGUCGUCUUCGUCAAUUUAUCCUUUCGCUACGAUAUGUUGGAUUCAUGUUUAUGCGUAUUUAAAGACAAAGACAAUUCUAAUUCUGAAGACAUUUCAAUUUGUGGAGGGAAAAAUUGUUGAAAAAAAUAAGAUUUCGCGACCCUCCUGCAGUACCUCCACGGACCCCCUGGGGGUCGCGGACCCGCUGUUGAAGACCUCUGAUGUAAAUCAACCCAAAGUGCAAGAACACACGCGUGCUGUGUGUUUGUGUAACAGUGAGAUGCAGCUCGUUUCCUUCUUCUACAUAAACGUGUCUGUAGACUCCAGCUGAUGUUCUCCGUCCACACGGAGCGCUGACAUCCGUGCGUUUGCAAUGUGAUUUAUAUGGAAAUGACAGUUACUGAAGACGCCGGUGACUCUUUCAGGAGCGCCGGACGAAUGUCCAGGAGGACGAAGGACGCCCGUCUCCUCCGGAGAGGAAGAGGAGCCCUGCUGAAUGUGAGCCGAGCAGGAGCGGCUGAAAGUCAACAGGUGAAAGGAAUAAUCCAACAGCUUCAGGACGCAGAAACGAGUCCAGUGAAGGUGCCUCCUUCAAGGACUUGGAGGUUUCUGAGCCACGUAACAGAGCAGAGGAGGAGGGAGCUGCUGCACGAGCGCGUCUGGGUUCCCCUCCAGAGGAACGUGGAGGAACGUCCAGCCGGAGCUCAUACCGUCACUGCGACACCAAGGGCUUUGAGCUCCUACCGGCGAUCCGAGGGAAUACAAUCCGUUCCUCGCACGCAUCACAAAGCCGCUUUCAAGGUGAAGGAAUGUUGUCAUCAAACGGUUCAUCCCGCAGCUCAGUGCGGUUGACUUGUGAGACGCGUCGUACCUUCAGUCACGUGAAAGACGGGAGGAAAAGGACUCUCGUGGAGCCGGUAUGUUCCUUCUGAUUUCUAAACUAAAAGGAAAUUUAAGACUCAUACGAGCUUUUAUUUCAUUUGUGU